rnacentral:rRNA from 1 species
CCACCACGAGAGGUGGGGACGUCAGGCGGGACCGCCGGUGGACAAACCGGAGGAAGGUGGGGACGGACGGUCCAAGUCAUCAUGGCCCUUAUGUCCUGGGCUACACACGUGCUACAAUGGCCGGUACAGAGCGCAGCGAGGCCGCGAGGCGGAGCGAAUCGCUUAAAGCCGGUCCCAGUACGGAUUGGAGUCUGCAACCCGACUCCAUGAAGUUGGAAUCGCUAGUAAUCGCGCAUCAGCAUGGCGCGGUGAAUACGUUCCCGGGCCUU